UACGUAGGUGGCAAGCGUUAUCCGGAUUUAUUGGGCGUAAAGGGAACGCAGGCGGUCUUUUAAGUCUGAUGUGAAAGCCUUCGGCUUAACCGGAGUAGUGCAUUGGAAACUGGGGGACUUGAGUGCAGAAGAGGAGAGUGGAACUCCAUGUGUAGCGGUGAAAUGCGUAGAUAUAUGGAAGAACACCAGUGGCGAAAGCGGCUCUCUGGUCUGUAACUGACGCUGAGGUUCGAAAGCGUGGGUAGCAAACAGG
rnacentral:rRNA from 1 species